AUCCAUAGAGGCAAAAUAUUAUAGAAGCCACGGUAAUUCACAACGAACAUGACCAUAGAAAAUGUGCAGACAAUUCUAAAACCCUGAAGAGGCAGUAUAUAUUCCUUGGAUUGAUUAGGGUUCUCCUUCCUGGUCUCUCUGUUCAGUCUCGGGCAUUAAUUUAGCGAGAACAUGGUGUCAUCAGCAGAGAAAAUGCCUGCCAGGACAUCCAGGUGGUUCAGUUUAUCAUUAUCAUAUCUGCAGAAUAAAAAGGGAAUAAUAUAUUGCGUAGAGCUAGUUUAGGAGCAAUGAAAUUGAAGGGGCAUUGAGGACAUAUUUAGCAGUAAGGGAAAUGGAGGGGAUUGUAAGUGCUAAAAUCUUCUUAUUAUUUAGUCCCUUCGAUCCUCUCUAAUCUCCUUGCCCCCAAAUAAGUUCUCAGGGGCUAAAAUCCUCUUGGUAUUUAAUUUAGUGUAUUGUUUGACAGCAGGAAAAACACAUAUUUUUUUAAAAAAAAUCUAAGCAGCUGUUGGAUGUUCCUGGUCAGCAUUUCCUGCAAUGGCUGGCUCCCCUUGCUUCUUCUACACCUUAGCCUUGAGAUUCCAUCAUCAUCAUCCCAAACCAAGAAAGAAUCCCAAAUCCCUGAUACGUGAAGUUAGCUGAUUUGGGCCCAGCCCAAUAGAUUUGCAUGGGCCAUUGUUGCCCAUUGGCAUGCAUGCACACAACAAUGCAAGCGAUACUGAACAACGAACAACACCGCUUAUAUAAUAUGAUGAUGUAUACGAUGGAAUAUAUGAUGUGGACGAUUUAUAUGA